AAAAAAGGAAAAAAAACAAAAUGCUAUAUUGACAAUUGAGAGUCAAGCUACAAAGUCAUUGACAUUAAGAGGAACUUGAAGGAUUCAAGGAGAUUUGGAGAUCAAGAACACAAUCCUUGAAAUCGAAAACCUUUUCGAAGACUUCGGAAGAAUAAUAAAAAGGCUUUUGCUCUAACUAAAACAAUGGCUGAUAUACAAGAGGAAGAAACCAAUCCUUUGAGGGAUUAUGCUAUCCCACGAGUAUAAAAUCUCCACUCUACUAUAUGAAGACCUCUUAUUCAAGCCAACAACUUUGAAAUUAAGCCAUCAAUCAUGUAGAUGAUUCAGACUGCUAUUCAACUUGGGUUUGCUUAAUAAUGAUUCGAAUACUCAUAUUGUAAAUUUCUUGGAAAUAUACGAUACAUUCCAGGCUAAUGGUAUUACAGAUGAUGCCAUAAGAUAGAGGCUUUUCCCUUUUUCAUUGAGAGAUAAAGUAAAGAUUUGGUUAAAUUCACUUCCUGCUGGUUCCAUUAAUACUUGGGAUGAUUUGGCUAAAA